ACUCCUUCUUCUCCUUAUCCUUCCUCCAAACCUUUUUCUACUAAUGACAAUUUGAGAAGAGCGAACCAAGAUUAGUCCCUUGCUUUAAUCUUAUCAUCAUUUCGUUCCCCUCAAAGCUUAAAACUUUUGCAAUUUCACUUGCACACUGGUAGUAAAUAUUGAGUGUUAGUUACUAUUAAGCAUUAACCCAGAAAAGAGAAAACUCACAGAAUGUGAUGAUCAAGUUUCUGCUCUAGUUCUAGUGUUGUUCUUACUCCUAUCUCAUAUAAACAAUAAAACCCUUCAUCAUCUUUGUAUCGGUCUUCAAUGGCUGCCUCAGCUUUGGCACUAGCAUCAUCUACGUCCCCAUUAUGUUUAAGAAAGCCCUAUCAAAGGAUUUCACUUUACAAUGCCCGUUCCUUCAUUUUACAUGGAAAACAAUUCCUUCCUCACACUCGUACUAACCUUGAACCUUCUUUUCAUGUUAGAACCCCUCUUGCGGUUGUUCCUUCUUCCUUGUUCCAAAGGGGUGGUUGUGCUUUUUCUUCGGAGGAAGAUGAUGAUGGGGAUGAUACCAAUGAUAAAAUUGAAAAGUUUCUGCAUUUUGAGGAUAAGCCAAUGAAAUUCGCUUUGCUGGUUCUGUUUUGGGCUUCUGCCUCACUGGCUUGGUUUUCUUUUUCAAAAGAUGCUAAUGCUGCUGUUGCUGCUGCUUCUGACUCCAUUAAAGCUUCUGGCUUUGGGUUAAAGGUUGCAAAUUGGUUGAGGAAAUUGGGUUUGCCUGAUGGGGUUGUUGUGUUCACACUUGCCACUCUUCCUGUUCUUGAGCUUCGUGGGGCUAUUCCUGUUGGUUACUGGAUGAACCUCAGCCCUUUCACUUUAACGCUUUUGUCCAUUCUUGGGAACAUGGUCCCUGUGCCAUUCAUCAUACUCUACCUUAAAAAGUUUGCAUCAUUCCUCGCUGCGAGGAGCUCUACCGCUUCACAAUUCCUUGACAUGCUGUUUGAGAAUGCCAAAGAGAAAGCCGGUCCAGUCCAGGAGUUUAAGUGGCUUGGUCUAAUGCUGUUUGUAGCAGUUCCUUUUCCUGGAACAGGAGCAUGGUCCGGAGCCAUUAUAGCAUCCAUCCUUGAUAUGCCAUUUUGGUCUGGUGUAUCUGCGAAUUUCUUUGGCGUUGUCUUUGCAGGGCUUCUGGUAAAUUUGCUAAUGAACCUUGGUCUAAAGUAUGCGAUCAUUACUGGUAUCAUCCUUUUCCUUGUUUCCACAUUCAUGUGGAGUGUCCUCAGAAAUCUCAGAAAAGGUAGCGUUUGGUGGAGAGACAGAGACGGAAAGACUGAGAGACAGAGACUAAGAGACAGAUUGAAAUUUUGGAGGUACUGAAAUACUGAAAUUUUGAGGAUAGAGACAGAAAUUUUAGUAUCAGUCUCUAAACCAAUAAACAUGAUACUCAAUCUCUGUCUCAAUACCUCAACAAAUGCUACCUAAGAGAUUUAUAUAUAUACAUGGUCCCAAACUCGGAUGUAAUCUAUAAUAGGUUAUUUUGACUUCACUUGAUCUUAUGUAGUAAGUAGUAGCCAUGCCUAGUGGAACAAUACUUCUGUUAUUUUCGGCAUUCAAGUAUCUGUUCUCUCAUAAAAUCACCACGCACACGCACAUAUAUAUCUCAAGAAAGUAGUGUGCCAAAUUCUUUCAUUUUUGCUUAGAAUCUCCAUCACCAUUGCCAAUUUUGGAAGUUGUUUAUGUUCCUGCAAGUGUAAAGUAUAUUUGAUUUAUGCGACAUGAUUGUGUUGUAAACUCAAUAUAAAAUUUCUAGUGUACGUCAUAAAAUUAUGGGCAAUCUACCUAAUUAAAUAAAUUCUGUGAAUCGUUUACCUGAAUACACAAAACAGAAACUUCUUACGUGCAUGUACAAUUUCAAUUUUAUGUAAACUGUGGGAGCUAACCACGGUUUCUGGUUUCUACGUAAACCGUUGGAGGCUACAAGGUUUUAUGGUUGGAAAAUGUUGGGCAUAAUCCGUGGCUACCUACCACGGAUUAUGAAGGAAGAAGCUUAGGCAUAAACCGUGGUUGCUUCCUACGGUUUAUGAAGAGGAGGCGUUGAACGAAAACCUCCAUUGGUUCCCACGGUUUACAUGCUAAGUAGUAUAAAUACAUAAUCCGUUGAUGGUCAUGCCGGAUCAUUUGUGCUGAAACAAAAAUUGAAAGAGCAAGGGGUGCUGAGAGAGUUUCAGGGAGAGGUUUGGAAGGUUUUGGUGAGAUUUGGGUGGUGGAGCCAUGAAAGACGAAGCUCGCUUGUAUUGAUUAAAUAGCGUUGCUCACGUGGCUGGAUACAUUGACGAAGAGCCUAGUUAUUAGCGGCGUUAGGAGACAGCAGAAUAUGCCUUUACACGACCGGAUUAUACCGUAUUUGGAGACCGCCGGCUUGCAUCACUUGGCUAGGCUGAACAGUCACUGGUUCUGGGUUGAUGAGCCUCUAGUUAGCGCAUUUAUUGAGCGGUAACGUCCUGAGACCCACACCUUUCAUAUGCCAUUUGGAGAGUGCACUAUCACUUUGCAAGAUGUGGCAUAUCAGCUGGGUUUGCCGAUCGAUGGGGAGCCCGUCAGUGGGUGCCUGACUGAGUUUGAGAAUUUGAUGGAACACGGAAGACCAGCAUGGGUGUGGUUUCGCGAGUUGUUUGGGGAGUUACCUCCGCAGAGUAAAGUCAAGCAGAUGACAGUGUGCUACACAUGGUUCCAUGAGAGGUUCCGGGUUCUCCCAACAGAUGCUAGUGAGGAGACCGUGCGUAUAUACGCGCGUGCCUAUAUUCUGAUGCUGUUGUCAUCUCAGCUGUUUGCGGACAAGAACGCAAACUGGGUCCACCUUCAUCAGCCGCUAGCACAAAGGUAUCAUACUUAACACCGGUCGAGACAACUGCGAUGAAAAUCUUGUAGAAUAGCUUCUUCACCCACUUGCUACCAAAUACCUCAAGCUUCUGCAAGAUGCUGUUCUUCAAAUUUGACAAAGUGCUUGAUGAACUGAUGAAAAUACUCAGUGGUUCUCUGUCAGUGAACUUCACACCAUA